GACGAACGCUGGCGGCGUGCUUAACACAUGCAAGUCGAACGGAGCGAAUGAAAGCUUGCUUUUAUGAGCUUAGUGGCAAACGGGUGAGUAACACGUAGACAACCUGCCGACAGGAUGGGGACAACAUUCCGAAAGGAAUGCUAAUACCGAAUGAAGUCGAGGGAAGGCAUCUUCCUUCGAUGAAAGAUGGCCUCUUUUUAUGCUAUCACCUGUCGAUGGGUCUGCGUCUGAUUAGCUAGUUGGUGAGGUAACGGCUCACCAAGGCGACGAUCAGUAGCCGGUCUGAGAGGAUGAACGGCCACAUUGGGACUGAGACACGGCCCAGACUCCUACGGGAGGCAGCAGUGGGGAAUCUUCCGCAAUGGGCGCAAGCCUGACGGAGCAACGCCGCGUGAGUGAAGAAGGUCUUCGGAUCGUAAAGCUCUGUUGACGGGGACGAACGUGCGGAGUGCGAAUAGCGCUU
rnacentral:rRNA from 1 species